GGUGGAUAUGGCUUUAAGACAGCUAUGGUUGAUGAGUGACUCUCACCCAGCCUCUGCCCUCUCUGGAAACAUCUGUCCAAGUGGGAACCUGCCUUUGCUUAAGACCCUCUAAGAAAUUCUGCUCCUAGAUUAUUGGGAUCUCCCAGCAGAUCCAGGGGAAGUUGGCCUGACAGUUCCAGCCCUCCUCCUCGGUGGGAAAGACUGUUCCAAAGGCCUGGAAACGUGUGAAGGCUGCAAUCUGACUCCUUUGGCUUCCACUUCCCGGCAGAAAAAGAACCGCCGGUGCCAAAAUUUCAACCCUCCCGGGGAGGCUGGAAAUAUUUAGGACUCCGUCCAAGGAUCAAUAAAAGAAAGAACAGGCCAGGAUUGUUGGGCUCCUUCAAACAAUAAAUUCCCAGCCCUGGGGAUUCAGCGACGGUGAGGAAGGCCGGUCCAGAAGGCCAAUGUCGCCAUGAUUCUUGAGGCAUCACAGUCAUGCUGGAGAAUUCAGGCCCCGAUGCCUUAGAAAUCCUAUUGCUGCAGAAGGGGAGAGACAGGAUGUUCAGUUAAUGCCGGACACCCGGAGCAGUUGGCAUGUACUGGGCCUCCAACUCUACCUUACCUGGCCCCCUGGAUCUAGGAUUGUCACCAGCAGUCUGCACCAGCCCCACCCUCCCCGUCACUCCAGAACUGGCUUCUCGAUUGGAGAUGUGUUGUGGCACAGUGAUGUCUGGACUAAGAAGAACUUGGCAGUCUAGGUCCAGCAGAGCCCCAUCUUCCCUGGUGCUUCAGGUUGGCCAGAUCAUUGGGAUGCUUGCUCUCGAGUUGGCAUCUUGGCUUGGUCCCAUCUUCCUGGCAUUCUAGACUUGCCAGGCGCUGUGUGCAUUUGCUGGGAAAUAGCAGUCAGAGCUGAUGCCCUUUCCUUGGUUCUUCU